GUUUAUCUUUCUUUUCAUUUAUUUUCAUAUAUUUACUUUUCAUAUGUGUGAUUUAUGUAGUUGGGACAUUUAUUUAUUGUAUGUUUAUGUACUGAUACGAUCACAGUUAUAGUAUAUACAUUUUAUAUGUUCAUUUUAAAAUUUGGAUUUCGAUUUAAUAUGUAAUUAUAAAUAAAUUGAUGACUUGUAGGACACUGGGUAUAUAUAUACCAAUAUGGACUAAGAUUAAGACAUGCCUCUGAUGAAAUAGGGCAGUACCCUAUGAAACGCGUAAGGCUGUGAAAUCAAUACGAAGAGAAGAGUUGGAAAGAACAAGACUCGGUGAUCUACAGACGUCUCUAUCCACAACACGGCAUCAUUCUGGAGGCUCACCUCUUGAUGUGAGGUCGGAGGUGUAGUGCCAAAGAAUGCGGAUGUCGUCCUCACCGGCUGCUGCAGGACCAACUUGGAAGGGAAAUAUCACCAUCCUCAGCCAUCCAGACGAAUGGUUCAGGUUAUAUGGUCUUUUCACCUUCUCUUACUUCGGAAUAUUUUUGUGGAACAUUAUUUACCC